AACGAACGCUGGCGGCAUGCCUAACACAUGCAAGUCGAACGAGACCUUCGGGUCUCGUGGCGCACGGGUGCGUAACGCGUGGGAACCUGCCCUUAGGUUCGGAAUAACUCCCCGAAAGGGGUGCUAAUACCGGAUAAUGUCUUCGGACCAAAGAUUUAUCGCCUUUGGAUGGGCCCGCGUUGGAUUAGCUAGUUGGUAGGGUAAAAGCCUACCAAGGCGACGAUCCAUAGCUGGUCUGAGAGGAUGAUCAGCCACACUGGGACUGAGACACGGCCCAGACUCCUACGGGAGGCAGCAGUGGGGAAUAUUGGACAAUGGGCGAAAGCCUGAUCCAGCAAUGCCGCGUGAGUGAUGAAGGCCUUAGGGUUGGAAAGCUCUUUUACCCGGGAUGAUAAUGACAGUACCGGGAGAAUAAGCUCCGGCUAACUCCGUG
rnacentral:rRNA from 1 species